UACAGAGGGGGCAAGGCGUUGUUCGGAAUUACUGGGCGUAAAGAGUGUGUAGGCGGUGCUCUAAGUUCGGUGUGAAAUCUCCCGGCUUAAACUGGGAGGGUGCGCCGGAAAACUGGAAGGCUUUGAGUAUGGGAGAGGUAAGCGGAAUUCCUGGUGGUGAGCGGUGAAAUGCGUAGAUAUCAGGAGGAACACCUGUGGCGAAGGCGGCCGGACACUGGGGCCGACCCUGACGCUGAGGCGCGAAGGCGUGGGGAGCGAACGGG
rnacentral:rRNA from 1 species